rnacentral:rRNA from 1 species
CUGCCAGUCAUCUUGGCUGUGUGGAAUGUUGGCGUUUGGGAGAGUCUUCUCAGCGCUUGGCGGACCAGUCAAAGUCCAACUUGACAGUGGCCAGAGCCCAUAGAGGGUGAUAGGCCCGUAAGGCGGUCUGCUAGUGCUGGCGACUUUUCCCUCGAGUCGGGUUGCUUGGGAGUGCAGCCCAAAGUGUGAGGUAAACUCCUCAUAAGCCUAAAUAUGACCCUGAGACCGAUAGCAAACAAGUACGGUGACGGAAGAUUGAAAAGAACUUUGAAGAGAGAGUUCAAUAGUACAUGAAACUGUGUGGUGGUAAACGGAGGGAUUCUUGAAGUGUCUGUGGAGAACUCAGCCUUGGCGCUGGGCCGUCCGGUUCUGUCUGAUCAGCAAUGACAGCAGGGCUGGUUGAGCUUGGUGCACGGGUGCAUUUUCUCCGCAGUUGACGGCAGGAACCGUUUGGGGUCGACCACUGGCGUUGGGUGAAGUUAUAGGCCUAGCCUGUAGCCCCGGCUGUCCUGGCUUGACUCCAGACGGGUAUUUGGAGGGGACUCGUAUAGCGAGCAGUGCUCUGCUGCAGUCUCCAUCUCUCUGCCGAGUAGGUCAGCGGUCCCUCCGACCCGUCUUGAAACACGGACCAAGGAGUCUAACAUGUAUGCGAGCCAUUGGGUUGACUAAACCUAAAGGCGCAGUGAAAGCAAAGAGUAGCUUGUCUGCUCGAGGGAGGAUCCUGUCAAACGGCGCACUCCCGUGAUUUCCAAUCGACCUCGCUUCGUUGGGAAUACACAGAGCAUAAAUGUUGGGACCCGAAAGAUGGUGAACUAUGCCU